rnacentral:misc_RNA from 1 species
AAAUGCGAUACGUAAUGUGAAUUGCAAAUUCAGUGAAUCAUCGAGUCUUUGAACGCACAUUGCGCCCCCUGGUAUUCCGGGGGGCAUGCCUGUCCGAGCGUCAUUUCUGCCCUCAAGCACGGCUUGUGUGUUGGGCCCCGUCCUCCGAUCCCGGGGGACGGGCCCGAAAGGCAGCGGCGGCACCGCGUCCGGUCCUCGAGCGUAUGGGGCUUUGUCACCCGCUCUGUAGGCCCGGCCGGCGCUUGCCGAUCAACCCAAAUUUUUAUCCAGGUUGACCUCGGAUCAGGUAGGGAUACCCGCUGAACUUAAGCA